rnacentral:rRNA from 1 species
UGAGGGGUCGAUGAGAGUUGACCUGUAAACGCUGAGACGUGAUGCCGAGCCGUUUCAGGCGAAGUCACUGAUCCCAUGCUGCCAAGAAAAGCCCAACAGUGAGUUGGCACGGUGCCCGUACCCCAAACCGACACAGGUGGGCGGGUAGAGAAUACCAAGGCGAUCGGGAGAACUAUGGUUAAGGAACUCGGCAAAUUACCUCCGUAACUUCGGAAGAAGGAGGACCCUAUUAGGGUGAAGCACUUUACGUGCUGAGCUCGAGGGGGUGGCACAGACCAGGGGGAAGCGACUGUUUACCAAAAACACAGCAGCGUGCGAAGCCGUAAGGCGAUGUAUACGCUGUGACGCCUGCCCAAUGCUGGAAGGUCACGGGGAAUGGUUAGUCGUAAGGCGAAGCUAUGAACCUAAGCCCCAGUGAAUGGCGGCCGUAACUCUAACGGUCCUAAGGUAGCGAAAUUCCUUGUCGGGUAAGUUCCGACCUGCACGAAUGGCGUAACGACUUCCCUACUGUCUCAACCAUAGACCCGGCGAAAUUGAAGUACGAGUAAAGAUGCUCGUUAGCUGCGGAAGGACGGAAAGACCCCAUGGACCUUCACUACAACUUGAUGUUGAGCUUUGACCUGCACUGUGUAGGAUAGGUGGGAGACUUGGAAGCGGCGGCGCCAGCCGUCGUGGAGUCAUCGUUGAAAUACCACCCUGUGUAGUUCGGGGCUCUAACCUUGGUCCGUAUAUCCGGAUCAGGAACAGCGUCAGGCGGGUAGUUUGACUGGGGCGGUCGCCUCCUAAAAUGUAACGGAGGCGCCCAAAGGUUCCCUCGGGCUGGUUGGCAAUCAGCCGUCGAGUGCAAUGACACAAGGGAGCUUGACUGCGAGACUGACAGGUCAAGCAGGUGCGAAAGCAGGGCAUAGUGACCCGGCCAUUGCGUGUGGAAGCGUGGUCGCUCAACGGAUAAAAGGUACCCUGGGGAUAACAGGCUAAUCUUUCCCAAGAGUCCAUAUCGACGGAAAGGUUUGGCACCUCGAUGUCGGCUCAUCGCAUCCUGGGGCUGAAGCAGGUCCCAAGGGUUGGGCUGUUCGCCCAUUAAAGCGGUACGCGAGCUGGGUUCAGAACGUCGUGAGACAGUUCGGUCCCUAUCCUCCGCAGCCGAAGGAGUAUUGACGAAGGCUGUCCCUAGUACGAGAGGACCGGGACGGACGCAGCUCUGGUGUGUCUGUUGUCCUGCCAAGGGCAUGGCAGAUUAGCCACCUGCGGAAGGGAUAACCGCUGAAAGCAUCUAAGCGGGAAGCCCGUUCGAAGAUGAGUACUCCCACAGUGUUAAGCUGGUAAGGCCCGUGACGAGACCAUCACGUUGAUAGGCCGGAGGUGUACGCACGGUAACGUGUUUAGCCGACCGGUACUAAUCGGCCGAGGGCUUGGACG